rnacentral:rRNA from 1 species
GUUACAUCACAAAGCCAGCCUCUAAAAAAAAAGAUACAUCACAAAGCCGAUUUGCCCCCAUAGUAGAAAAAACAAAAAGGAAAAGAAAAGCCGAUCUUCCCAUUGGGAAAUCGAAAUAACAUCUGGACUGGAGCGGCCGCUCCCUGCCUUUGCACCUCCAGUCCAGCGAAACGGCGGCCGGCGACCGAGGCGCGGCUUCCUUUCCUGGCGCACGGCCAUCCCCCCAUCCGCUCUCCACUCCGGGAACGGAACAGGUAGCGGUCCCUAUCGCGCCAUGUUUCCUCCUAUGCAUGGCGGAACCUGUUUUUGUGUCGGGAGAAGUGGAAAAUGACGGCUAGACGGUGGAGGUGAGCGGCGAUCAGGGGGCGGAGAUGCGGUGAGCCGCGCGGCGUGGAAUUUGGGAUGGUGAAGACCUAGUUUUUCCCCCUCUCUCCAGACCAUAAGACCUAGUUUGCGUGGAUCGCUUUACGAUGGAACCUCUUCUGCAAUAUCGAUCUCACAGUUGACUCCAAUCUUUCUGGCACAUCAUAGGAUGGCAGGAAUGCCCUCCGAUUUCCAUGUAUUUCGUGGUAAUUCCCAUGGAUAGUGCCACCAUGGAGUAGUUUAUAUUUAAAGAAAAUUGGGGCUUCAGCCGAACCCACAUCUACAAGCCACUCGAGCCAUUCCUCCAUUGUUCAUAUGAGCUGGCACCACGGGAAUUUGUUUUUUGUUCCCGGGACCAUGUCAGAUGUGGAUGCAUCUAUUUCCUAAUUGCAGGCAUUUCAGAUGUUAGGGUACUGUUGUGCUAGGCUGCUAAGGUACCAGCUGUGUUUAUCAUGUUAAAGAAGAACAUGGAAGGUGGCCUGACAGCACACUUUUAAGUUCAGUUACUACUAUGAUCCAUUCACAAUUAUCUUUCAUAUAGUAUGGCUGUUCGAUUGAUGACAACUUAUUUUGUUCCAUAAGUUUUUAUUAGAAUCGGAUCGAACGCCUACUGCAACUUGCAAACAAACCUUGUAGUUGGCAUGCCCAAGGACAAACCCAUAUGGAUUCAGAUAAGAAAAAAAUCUAGCUCUUGACAAUGUACUCUCAUCAGCUCCAAUGUGUUUUCCUUGCAUCGCACCAGGCUAAAACUAGUUUAAGUCAAUUCUGAGGAUUCACUCUACCGUUGUGAAUAGCAACUGUACCAGGACAGGUCACUACAUGGAUAGUUUCGUAUGUCUCAUCGGCAUGCUACUCUGAGUCAUGUAAUCUUUCUUCUUCUUGUGAACUGUAGCCUUUUUUAGUGGCAGGAAACAAUCUGAAUCAAGGCAAGGAUUUUUGUGGUGAUGUCCUUCCUGAGACUGUUACCUCAAAGGUUGCCCCAGUUUGCUAGGCAGGUGGAGCGAGAUGUUGAGACUGUAAUCAAUGUUCUGCAGCCAGGUCCAAUAGGAAUUGUGGAGCACAAAUUCACCGAUGCAGAGAUCCGCGAGGCGCAAGGCACAGUAAGGAGCGCAGUCCAGAAUUGGCGAAGGAACUGGAAUUUGGAGAGAAAUCUUGCCACUGGUUCUAUUGGUAAAUCGAAGUAACUCUCUGCAUCAUGACUUGGUGCAGCACCAACACUGAAAAUGAAAGUGUGUCGUAGUUGCAACUGUUGGCCUUGGUGUAGUUGGUAUGUUUUCUCUGUCAGUGGACCCAUGCAAUUGAUGGUGAAAUCCUUCCAUGAUCUAUUAUCAGUGAAAGUACACGCUGUUUGAGUUUCCUAAAUUGUUCCUCUAACAUCUGAAAUUCUCAGUAAUAUCCCCUCAAUCCACAUGUGAUUUGCAGCAGUUUGUGGAUUCGAUGUGCACAAAUUGAGUUGCCUCGAGUGGGAUGUAUGGUUUAGCCUGGAAAGGAUGUAAAAGAAGGCGGUCAAGUGUUUCAGGGAGCAGUUUGCACCUGUUUAUAUCACAGUUGAAUUCCGUUUUUUGAAAAUGAGUAAGCUGUCUUGCCACUCGG